rnacentral:lncRNA from 1 species
UUUUCUUGAACUUCCUUUGAGGAGCUCGACUUUUGUAGUCAUUUGCUUGAUGUUAAGGCUUACUACAAAUAUAGGAAUUUCCAUCGACCUUUUUCAAAUUGAAUUGCCCCCCAGAACUCUACAAUAGUCUACUGAGCUUUCUUUUCUUGUAAUAGUUUCCCACUCUUGUGAUUAUGGUCCACCACAUUGGCGUUUGACUCCAUGUGGUAUCCACCCUUCCUGCUAUUCAGACAGUUGUCGUCUUCAAUUCUCAAUCGAACUAUAAGAUCCUCUAGUCUCAUGCCUUUUUGC